rnacentral:lncRNA from 1 species
UGCAAAUUGAAAGUUUGUGGCAACCCUGCAUCAAGCAAGUCUGUCAACACCAUUUUUCCAACAUCAUGUGCACACUUCGUGUUUCUGUGUCACAUUUUGGCCUCCCUAUUCCCUGAGACACACAGUGUUGAAAUGAAACCAGUUAAUAACACUACAGUGGCCUCUCAGUGUUCACAUGAAAGGAAGAGUCUCACAUCUCUCUCUUUAAAUCAAAAGCUAGAAAUGAUUAAGCUUAGUGAGGAAGACAUGUUGAAAGCUGAGAUAGGUUGAAAGCGAGGCCUCUUGUACCAAACAGCCAGUUGUGAAUGCAAAGGAAAAGUUCUUGAAGGAAGUAAAACCACUCCACUGAACACAUGAGUGAUAAGAAAGCAAAACAGCUUUAUUGCUGAUACGGAGAAAGUUUGAGUGAUCUGGAAAGAAGAUCAAACCAGCCACAACAUGCCUUUAAGCCACAGCCUAAUCCACAGCAGGGUCCUAACUUUCUUCAAUUCUGUGACGGCUGAGAGAGAUGAGGAAGCUGCAGAAGAAAAGUUAGAAGCUAGCAGAGGUUGCUUCAUGAGGUUUAAAGAAAGAAGCUGUCUCCACAACAUAACAGUGCAAAGUGAAGCAGCAAAUGUUGGUGUAGACACUGCAGCAAGUUAUUCAGAAAACCUAGCUAAGAUAGUGGAUGAAGGUGGCUAUACUAAACAACAUAUUUUUAAUGUAGAUGAAACACUUUAUAUUGGAAGAAGAUACCAUCUUGGACUUCCAUAACUAGAGAGAAGUCAGUGCCUGGCUUCAAAGGACAGUCUGCCUUUCUUGAUAGGAGCUAAUGGAGCUGGUGACUUGAAGUUGAAGCCAAUGCUCAUUUACUAAGCUGAAAAUCCUAGAGUCCUUAAGGAUCAUGCUGGCUGGGCAUGCUGUAAUCCUAGCACAUUGAGAGGCCAAGUCAGGAGGAUUGCUGAGCCCAGGAGUUUGAGACUAGCCUGGGCAACAUGGAAAAACCCUGUCUCUACAAAAAAAUACAAAAAUUAGCUGGGUGUGGUGGCACACACCUGUGGUCCCAGCUACUAGGGAGGCUAAGGUGGGUAGAUUGCUUGAGCCUGGGAAGCAGAGGUUGCAGUGAGCCAAGAUUGUGCCACUGCACUCCAGCCUGGGUAACAGAGAAAGACCCUGUCUCAAACAAACACACAAACAAACAAAAAGAAUCAUGCUAAAUCUACUCUGUCUGUGCUCUAGAAAUGGAACAACAAAGCCUGGACGAUAGCACAUUUAUUUACAGCAUGGUUUACUGAAUAUUUUAAGCCCAC